AGAGUAGAAAGCCGUGCGUGAAGUGCCGUAUGAACGGGGAGUUGUCAGACGGACGAAGGCUUGCGCCGCGGUACGGCUUUUGCAUCCCGCU
rnacentral:ncRNA from 1 species